rnacentral:lncRNA from 1 species
GGUACUAUUGUAACUCUGUUUUAAGAUGAGGAAACUAACAUCCCGCUGGCCCCACAGUUAGGAAGGGGCGAAGCUCAAGCUGUCUGGUACCAGUGUCCAUGCUUAUAAUCACCGUGUUGUAAUUUUCUUACUCAUGCCUUGCACAUGGUAGGAACCAAAGAAAUAUCUUCAAGUCUACUCUAACCUUUCUGACCAAAUCAGAGAGCAGUGAUCACACAUUCCCAGAAAAGCACCUUUUACCUAUUCUUUGAUCAAAACAAUUGACUCCUUUGCAGACAGGCUAAAAGUCCAACCCGGCCUGGUACGAAGGAACCAAACUAGUAAUUUUUUUAUUUUUUUACUGUCAAGAGACUAGGUCCCCUAGGACCAGUGACUCUAUAAUAAUAAAUAUCUUAGAGUGUGAAGAGGUUGCCUUUUUUUGAAGGUCCCUUUGGACUCCACAGAUUCUCUCAGAGAGAUAUCAUUUGGGGGAAAAUUAACUGUUUUGGAUCAGCUGAAGGACAAUCUGGAUUCUAGUCCCAACCCCAGAACUUCCUACCCAAUGACCUCUUUGAGUGUGUUUCACCUCUUUGAACAUCUACACCUUCAUUGAUAAAUGGGAAUGUGAUGAUCUCACAGGACUGUAAUGAGGAUCCAGCAACUGUAGGUAAAAGCUUUUUGUAAAUGAACUAGUAACCUUCAUGCAAGAACAAAUUUAAAACUGCUCAAGUUCAUGGGACUUCCUUGGAGGUCCAGUGAUUAAGACUCCACCCUUCCAAUGUAGUGGGUGCAGGCUCUGUUCUGCUGGGGAACUAAGAUCUCACAUGCUGUUUGGCUUGGCCAAAAAAAAAAAAAAAAAAUUUUCUUUUAAAGUGCUCAAGUUCAGAGUUUGUCCUUUUUAAAGUAACAAUAAUCCCCAGAAAAUUCUCCUCCCUGGCCUCUGGGUACAAAGAUAACUAUACUAUACUAUGCUAUGAUAGAUAACUAUCUUAGAUCUCUUCUCCUUAUUUCUAGAGCCUCCACAAGCUGAAGCAGUUUUCAAAUUUUGAGGCCCCUCACCUUGAAUCAGUCUUCUCCCUCAGAUAUAGCUAGUUAUUAGGGAUACCUAAAUGUCA